rnacentral:rRNA from 1 species
AAUGCCGGAUGUGAAAGCUGGGAGGCAUCUCUUGGUUUUCAAAGCUGGGGACCGUAAGGCCUGGCGCUUCAUGAUGAGCCCGCGGCCUAUCAGCUAGUUGGUAAGGUAACGGCUUACCAAGGCUAAGACGGGUAGCUGGUCUGAGAGGACGACCAGCCACACUGGAACUGAGACACGGUCCAGACACCUACGGGUGGCAGCAGUCGAGAAUUUUUCACAAUGGGCGCAAGCCUGAUGGAGCGACGCCGCGUGGGGGAUGAAUGGCUUCGGCCCGUAAACCCCUGUCAUUUGCGAUCAACCGUUGUUGUUUAAGAGACGACAACCUGAUAGUAGCGAAAGAGGAAGGGACGGCUAACUCUUUGCCAGCAGCCGCGGUAAUACAGAGGUCCCAAGCGUUGUUCGGAUUCACUGGGCGUAAAGGGUGCGUA